AUUGCUUCUCAGCCUUUUGGCUAAGAUCAAGUGUAGCAUCUGUUAUAAUCAGUUUAAUAUAAUAUUUUAAGUUAUGAGUUUAUUUGGUGGCAGCCCCA
rnacentral:snRNA from 1 species